CAGGGAUAGCUCAGCCAGUAGAGAGUUGGGUUUGGGUUCCAGAGGUUGCAGGUUCA
rnacentral:tRNA from 12 species